CACUUUAUAUCUCUCUCUCUUCAUCUAUAUUAUUUUUCAGUCGCCUAAAACCAGAACCAAAGUGAAUCUUCUAUAGCUGCCUCCAAUUACCGAGUUGACUCAGUUAAAAGAAAUCAAAUUAAUGAAGAUAGGAAAUGAAUGGUCGAUUGUGAGGAAACAUAUUAUUUGUAUUUUAAAAUUUAAUUUCAACUCUCUCCUCUCUCAUAUCUCAUUCUCCAGAUUCAAAUUGAGAAAGCAUAGAUAAAUUCUUGAUUACGGAGAAGAGUGAAGGAAGGAAGAUGAGCUGUGUUCAGUCCAAAAAAAAAAGAAGCUGCUACUCGAUGCAAAUGUUACGGCUCAUAACACUUUGGCCCCCGUGUAUUCUCGUUGUUCACAGUCCCAUCGGCGAAUCCAAAUUACAGUGGUGACUCAGUCCUAGUGAUUUGAAUCCAAAUUUCAAAAUUUUCGUUUCAGCAAGAAUGGAAUCUGAUGGACAUGAAUUCAAUAGCUGCUUUAUUCGUCGCUACUGUCGUCAUAUUUGUUUUCCUCCUCUGCUUAGUCGCCACAAUCCAUGUCUCCUUCAUAUAGGGAAUCGUCUCGAGUACUCGGUUUCAUUUACCUCAUUGGCUGGUAGAAUUUUCAUGCUUUGAACCAACAAAAGCUUUCUUCCUUUUGUAUGACCUUGAGAUUUUAGAGAUAACAAUGUUUUUUGACUUGUGUAAAUCAUCAAAGUUGCAAGUGUGUGUUGAGAAUUA